UACGUAGGGGGCAAGCGUUGUCCGGAAUUACUGGGCGUAAAGCGCGCGCAGGCGGUCUUCCAAGUCAGUGGUGAAAGCCCGGAGCUCAACUCCGGAACUGCCAUUGAAACUGUUGGACUUGAGUACGAGAGGGGUGAGUGGAAUUCCCAGUGUAGAGGUGAAAUUCGUAGAUAUUGGGAAGAACACCGGUGGCGAAGGCGGCUCACUGGCUCGUAACUGACGCUCAGGCGCGACAGCGUGGGGAUCAAACAGG
rnacentral:rRNA from 1 species